rnacentral:rRNA from 1 species
UAAUACAGAGGGUGCAAGCGUUGUUCGGAAUUAUUGGGCGUAAAGCGCGUGUAGGCGGUCUGUUAUGUCGGGUGUGAAAGCCCUCAGCUCAACUGAGGAAGUGCGCCCGAAACUGGCAGACUUGAGUGCCGGAGAGGAUAGCGGAACACCCGGUGUAGAGGUGAAAUUCGUAGAUAUCGGGUAGAACACCAGUGGCGAAGGCGGCUAUCUGGACGGACACUGACGCUGAGACGCGAAAGCGUGGGGAGCAAACAGGAUUAGAUACCCUGGUAGUCCACGCCGUAAACGAUGAGAACUAGGUGUUGUGGGUGUUGACCCCUGCAGUGCCGAAGCUAACGCAUUAAGUUCUCCGCCUGGGAAGUACGGCCGCAAGGCUA